rnacentral:lncRNA from 1 species
CGCCCCGCCCCGCCCCGCCCCGCGGCCGCUCCCCGGGCAGCCCCGCCCCCGCCGGCUGGACGCGCCGCCGCCGUUGACUCCUGUGCCGGGGACCGUCGCUUUUGGAAAAGAUGCCAACACGCCGUUUUAUAUUUAUUUCGCCGUCCGCCAGUUCCGCCUCGGCCCUGGUCGCCGGGCGCUCGGCCGCUUCGCGGAAGCCGUGCGGUCAGCCCUCGGCUCGCAGGGGCCGCGGUGGGCGCCCGGGCCCGGGUGAGCGGGGAGCUCCGGCUGCCGUCCCCCGCGCCAGCCGCGGAGCCGUUCUAGGCCCUUCCGUGGGAAACGGGCUGACGGUGCACGGCAGGUCUCCGGCGGCCGCAGCCUGCAGGGACCUGGGGGCCACGUCAGGGGGCUCCGACACGGGUGAGCUCCGGCGGGGCUCCCGUGGCAGGACGUGUCACCUGCUGGGACACCCAGGCCCCGAGGAGGCUUCUGCGAAGGAGCGAGACGAGCCGCACGUCCUUGACCCUUGGCGGCCCUCGGGGUCAGCCCCCCGGCCCUCGCGCCCGCGGGACCCCUGUGCUGCUGCCCGUGCGGACUGGCCGCCCCUUCCCCGGGGACGGAGGCGAGGCGAGGAGGCGCCGCUCUCUGCCGGGCCGCGGGACCCUGGGCGUAGGCUCCAGGUGCGGGAAGCGCGCGGGUCAGAGGAACUGGCGCGUGUGUGGUGGGCCUCCCACCACCUCAUCAGCCUGGAAAAGCCCACCCAGGUGGUGUUCCUUCGCCCGCGGCGGGACAGAAGACCGAGCUGGAGACCGAAGUGUCGGGGUCGGGGAGGGCUGCGCUGUCACCCUGCGGGGCCGUGUUGGGCACUUGACGCGCAGGCUCCAGCGGGGGCAGAGGAGGUGGCCCGGCACCCCAGACCCCGCCCCUGCUGUGUGUGUGGGGCUGCCUGCGAGUGGGGUGGUGUUCCUGGGGUGUAGGGCGGGAGGGGACACCUAGGAACGGCCUUGCGGAGUGAGCAGGAAUCAAGCGUCCCUUGUAUUCUGGGGGCAGCGCCAGUGCCCGCGCUUAUUCCCAGUGGCAGGUCUGUGGAGGGGCCGUGCAGUGCGGGCCUUGUCCGGCUUUUGCUGUGAUGAGUGGAUGGGAACCGGCCGCCCAUGACAGCUUGGCACCCCGUAGACUGGCUGCGACAGGGAAACUCAGAAGCGAGUUGCGGCCCCCUACACGCUGCUGCUCAUCUGCCCUUUAGAUCCCGUAGGUCUUUCCGCCCUUUUAUUUUACUAAUGAAUUUGGUUAUGAGCACAGAGGCCGGUUUUCCUAGGAUGGGGCAGCAAGGGGCAGCGCUGUCUGCUGGGUGUUAGCGCCCAGGCGUGGUGAGCAGCAGGGGCUGUCGGAGCCUGGUGACCACAGUGCAGGUGGGUCCCAGAAGCGCCCAGUGGUGGGGCCCUCAGCAGACACACUGCUGCUUUUGGCUUUGGGGUUCGUGCUUGGAGACGCCGAGCAACGAGGUAAAUAAAGAAUGUUUUCCUCUCCUUCCACCAGUUCUAAUCAAUCAGUCCGUCAUGGACGUGUCCUAGGUACUGGUUGUCCUAGGUGCUGGUAGCAGUGUCUGGUUGACCCAACGGGAAGCAGCGCUGGUUUAAAGCUGCCUUUGCGGGUGGGUAGCCUAGGUGAGGCAGGCUUUAGUUGGGGGAGAAGCAGGUUUUCCUGGAAUGAGGAAUGUCUCUUAUGACAUCGUGUCAGCCAAGACUUCAGCUCUGGGCCACUGGACACGGCGUGCUGGGCUCACAGGGCCUGGCACCUGUCCCCAGGGGCCCGGAGCCUGUGGCUGGUGGCCACUCAAGGAUGGACAGAGGCAUUCUUCCUGCCACUGCUUGGUCGGGAGAGAUUGUGGCUCGGCCAGGCUCGGGCACCUGGUCUCAUGGUGCGCCCUGGGAGGGAGUGUGUUUUGUAGCAUGUGAACAGUCAGCUGGGAACGUGAACAGAAUAGAGUUGGUUGGUACACUGAAAAGCAGCUUCUGCUUCUCGCGUGGGUGGGGAUGGCGGGGAGGGGACAGCGGGGAGGCCCCAGGCCCGCGGAUUGCCUCAGAGGGGUCCCGCACAGCUGGUUUGCCGUGGCUUUUAUAGACAAAACUUGCCUUUUAAAAUAUUUUAGGGGUUUGGUUUAGAAUGUCCUCCUUUCUCCUGACAUAGCCAUUUUUUUUUUUUUUUUUUAAAUUGUAAGACUUGUCCUCAGCCCCAUUUUCUGCCACCAGCACUAAUGCCACAGAUGCUCUGAUCCUGGUGUGGGCACAUUUCACGCUGAGUUACUAGUUGCUUUGAAUGCAUUGACCCUGUUAAUUAUUGCAGAGGAGAAAUGAGAUGUGUUCUUCCCCCCUCACUAAUUUAGCUUUGGGUGAACUAAACGGCUUUUCCUUUCUUGCCCCCUGAGGCCCCAGAAGCCAUAGAGUCUGCUGAAUCCUGGAGUUGGUUCCCUGGGCCCGAGGCUCGUUUGCUGCCAAACACCCCCUUGGGGCCCUUGUCCAGAAUGUUCUAAGACUACGUGUGGCUGGAGGCAGGUUCCUCGAUUGUUCUAUUCAGCCCACUAGGGAGCCUGUGUUCUGCCCCCUAAGACUCAUUUCCUUGUGUGAGGGUGUGUUUUCUUCCUCAUGUCCUUGCCUGCACUAGCACCUGGGAGCUUGGCCUCGGGCUCAGUCAGCCUUUAACUGCCGGUGGACCUCGGAGGGAGGGGAUAGGCUUGCCCCGCAGGGUUGGGUUCAGCGAGGAAGGGCUGGUGGUCAACUCUGCUCCCUGCCACCCCCUUCCCCGCCUUGGGGCUGCGGCCUGGGUUGGGCGCCCCCGAUGGUUGCCCUCCCCCCCCCCCCGGUGCUUUGUGUUGGCGGCAACGAUCCCCGCACCUCGGGCCUGCAGACGAGGGCCUGCACACAGGUAGAGAGCUUGCUGUACCCCUACAAGCGGCUUCCAGGUACAUGGACUCUGGCCAGUGUUCCCCGCACGAGGCAGACCACCGGGUGUAGUGAGGGGCCUGGCUGAGUGCUCUGCCCAUGACUGUGCCACACAUGGUGCUGGCUGUGCGCUGCCUGGAACAGCCUUGGGGACCUUAGGACGCCCUGGAGCAUCCCCCACUCGGACAAAGUCAUGCCUCUUCCUCUGGGAGCACCUGCUCCAGCCCUGCCUGCUUCUCUCCCCAGCCCCUCCUUCCCGCCCCUUCUCCUCUUCCCCUCCCCCUCCCUAGGCGUCCAUCCCAAGUGCCCCCAUCCUGGUCCUGGGCGCACACCCUGCACUGUCUGGCGGCUUCCAGGACCCACCUUGCUCCCGCGCCUCUACUCUGGCCCCACAGUUUAGCAGAGCGACAGGUUGCGCCCUGUGGCAUCAGGCCGAUCGUGCAGGGGUACGCAGACCUACUAUUUAUUCUGAAUGUGAAUUUGCUAUUUAUUCCCAAUGUUGAUUUGAUGUUCUAAGAUCAAACUUGUUGCCAAAUAAAAGUUUGAACUGUGUU